AAGGGACUCCAGGGGGGGCCGUGUCCUCCCUGCGUUUCCAGAGAGGUGGAAAGGAGGCCUUAUGAAACUGAGAAAUAAAACCAACUAGAAUUUUGAAUAAAACUAAAAUUUAAUUGACUAAAACAGACAGUUAAAGGUCUAAGGUUUAUUAUAUUAUAGCACAGAAUCUGGAGUCAACUUUUGGAGUGUUGAUGGAGAUUUCAAUGAUUAGUGUGUUUGCAAGAAGAACAGUCAAUAAAAUGAAUAAAAUUCAUGGAAAGAUCAAGAAAUGUGAACAACACAACUAUUUAUCAACUGUAAUAAAGGAGCUGAUGAGAGACAUUUUUGCAAUUUAUUUUAAUAACAGAGAAAAAUAAAAGAUAAUGGGAAAAGAAAAUCAACAACCGGCUGGGGAGAUCAGGACAUACAGAGGUG